AUUGAACGCUGGCGGCAGGCCUAACACAUGCAAGUCGAGCGGAUGAAGGGAGCUUGCUCCUGGAUUCAGCGGCGGACGGGUGAGUAAUGCCUAGGAAUCUGCCUGGUAGUGGGGGAUAACGUCCGGAGACGGGCGCUAAUACCGCAUACGUCCUGAGGGAGAAAGUGGGGGAUCUUCGGACCUCACGCUAUCAGAUGAGCCUAGGUCGGAUUAGCUAGUUGGUGGGGUAAAGGCCUACCAAGGCGACGAUCCGUAACUGGUCUGAGAGGAUGAUCAGUCACACUGGAACUGAGACACGGUCCAGACUCCUACGGGAGGCAGCAGUGGGGAAUAUUGGACAAUGGGCGAAAGCCUGAUCCAGCCAUGCCGCGUGUGUGAAGAAGGUCUGCGGAUUGUAAAGCACUUUAAGUUGGGAGGAAGGGCAGUAAGUUAAUACCUUGCUGUUUUGACGUUACCAACAGAAUAAGCACCGGCUAACUUCGU
rnacentral:rRNA from 1 species